AUGUUGAUGCACAAAACCGAAGGGGUCUUGGAACAACACAAAUCUGACCGUGAAUCUGCAAGAAAGUAAAGAACACAAAAAGUAUCGUGGUUCACCCCAAUGUUUGAGCUACGUCCACACUGAUAUUGUAUUUCUCUGUUUGUGAGAGGAUUGUGAGGGAGAGAGAGCUCGAAUAUGAGAGUGAGGCUUUGCUCUGAAUCUCAGAGCCUUUCGAUUGUGAAGGUGAAAAGACCAUUUUAUAGACUAAGGGCUCCUUCCUUUUUUACAUAUUUGCCCCUUCAUUUAUUACAUAAUUACAUUUGAGUCUCCCGAGUAUUUAUACGAGAUCUAAAUACGGAAGCCCUAAGUAUGGUACAAACAGAUCUAUCAAAAAUUAUCAUGGACAUACCUAUUUUUCUACCACAUAUAGGAAUAUAGUGUCUAGAAGAUUCUCAUUUAAUUGAAACAUACAAAACUCAUUAACCACUCUAACCAGAAGCUCAUUUGAUUGAAAAGAAAAAGGAAUCAAUACGUAAAAAUUGAACCAAUCGAUUGAACACAUACCAAUUAUUAAGCUAAUUAGUGCUCUAGAAAUUUAGAGAUGUCAAAUGAUGAAGAAAAGGAAGAGGAAGAGGUUUGGAUGACUACAGAGGAGUAAAUGGGGGUGCAGAAUGACAACCAUGGGAGAUGGAAGGAUUUUUUAAAAAGAGAGAGAAUGGGCUUUGCUCCAUGGAGAUGAUGGACUGGUUAGGGUUUUAUUUUUUAUUUUUAAGUAGAUUGAGUUGGGUGUAAAAAGAAGUUUGAUUGAGUUGAGUUUUGAUAAGUAAGGGCAGUUUCGGAAAUAACGUUAGUUGUAAAGAGGUAAUAAUAGAUAAAUCAAAUACAAUGUGGGUAUAAAAAGUAAGCUAGGUGUUGAGAUACAAAAUAUGAGUUCAAAUAAAAUUUCCCUUUGGUGAUUUACCAAAAAAUAAAUAAAUAACUAGCACAACUUGAUGACUUAUCCAAAAAAAAAAAAAGUAGCACAACUUGGUGCUAUUCUAGUGAAUAAUCCAACCAAAACUAUAUCUAAUCAACAACUUAUGAAGUAAUCAACAACCAAACGAGACUGAAUCCAAACGAAUGAAUUAACAGAGUUUGUAAAGAGCAAAGGACUAUAAAAUAUACCACCUCGAAUAGGAGUCUUGGCUAGUUUAAGCUAGAAGACGAGUUGAAGUAGUCAAAAGAGGAAGAAGAGGCACAUUAGCCAUCAACAGGAAGCAGUGCAGAAAUAGAAGGAGAGU
rnacentral:lncRNA from 1 species